UGAGAUGGGAAACAACCUUCGUAAUCAAUUUUCCUCAGGCUGCUCCUCAAGGUGUAUUGGCUUGAGUCUAUUGCGGCUAUAGACUAAUAAUGUUUUAAUGAUAAUAAUGAUAAUGAUUGAUCUAAUGACGGUCGUCGAUAAGGACUUUGUAAGGAAUAGUCCUAAGGUCCUAAGAAAUUUUGAAUACAAGGCUGAAAAACUUUUUUGUCUGUCCAAGUAGGCCUUUCGAAAGUAGCUAUAAUGCAAUUAUUUAUAAAACAACUAACAUAAUACAAAACCUCACAAUGCUGAAUACGUUUACCACAUCCCUACACAGCUUGGAGCUCAUCCUUCUCGGGUGAAGGAAAGUUCAUGGGCUUUCUGGAGUUCAAAAUGGAAUAAAAGGAGACCUUUAUCUAUCUCAGAUACACUCGUACCUCAAACAUAUAGUAACCAAUCGGGCAAGUCUUAGCAGUUUACCACCGUUUGUCAUACACUUUCGGCUCAACCGGAGGAAUUAUAACUCGAUCCCCGUCCACCCUCCGCUGUGAUAUGUCCAUGCAGUUCAGCGAUAUGUCUUCAAGGCAGCAGUAUCGACUGCAGACUGGAUGGAAAGUACGUUUGCCUUAUUUGGGGAUUGCGCAGUGGAAGACCUUCGACCUUUUCUGAUUGUUCCCGACGAGGUAAGGCGCCAUAUCUGAGAUGCUUAAACAGGACUGCAGUCUGUAAGCGCAUCAAAGGAUAUUGGUGGUCGCUACCCAUUAGAUCUAUGUCCCUAGAUCUAUAUAUGCCAUUAAAGCUAGAUAAAAAUAAGGAACACCACUACCAGUGACGAGAGUAGAACACUUUGCUUUGUAAUCUGCAAAAAAAUACAUUUCUUUUGUCUAGUAAUAAACAAAAUUUAUAUUUGA